rnacentral:rRNA from 1 species
UGGGGAAUUGUUCGCAAUGGGCGCAAGCCUGACGACGCAACGUCGCGUGGAGGAUGAAGGUCUUCGGAUUGUAAACUCCUGUUGCCCGGGACGAACGCCUCCAACCUAAUACGUUGGAGGGUGACGGUACCGGGUGAGGAAGCCCCGGCUAACUCUGUGCCAGCAGCCGCGGUAAUACAGAGGGGGCAAGCGUUGUUCGGAAUUACUGGGCGUAAAGGGCGCGUAGGCGGCCUGCUAAGUCGAACGUGAAAUCCCUGGGCUCAACCCAGGAACUGCGUCCGAUACUGGUUGGCUUGAAUCCGGGAGAGGGAUGUGGAAUUCCAGGUGUAGCGGUGAAAUGCGUAGAUAUCUGGAGGAACACCGGUGGCGAAGGCGACAUCCUGGACCGGUAUUGACGCUGAGGCGCGAAAGCCAGGGGAGCAAACGGGAUUAGAUACCCCGGUAGUCCUGGCCCUAAACGAUGAAUGCUUGGUGUGGUGGGUAUCGAUCCCUACCGUGCCGAAGCUAACGCAUU